UGGCCCUAGCGCUUGCAACGUCUAACGGGGGGACCGGGGAGCUUGCUCCUUGGGUGACGAGUGGCGGACGGGUGAGUAAUGUCUGGGAAACUGCCCGAUGGAGGGGGAUAACUACUGGAAACGGUAGCUAAUACCGCAUAACGUCGCAAGACCAAAGAGGGGGACCUUCGGGCCUCUUGCCAUCGGAUGUGCCCAGAUGGGAUUAGCUAGUAGGUGGGGUAACGGCUCACCUAGGCGACGAUCCCUAGCUGGUCUGAGAGGAUGACCAGCCACACUGGAACUGAGACACGGUCCAGACUCCUACGGGAGGCAGCAGUGGGGAAUAUUGCACAAUGGGCGCAAGCCUGAUGCAGCCAUGCCGCGUGUAUGAAGAAGGCCUUCGGGUUGUAAAGUACUUUCAGCGAGGAGGAAGGUGUUGUGGUUAAUAACCGCAGCAAUUGACGUUACUCGCAGAAGAAGCACCGGCUAACUCCGUGCCAGCAGCCGCGGUAAUACGGAGGGUGCAAGCGUUAAUCGGAAUUACUGGGCGUAAAGCGCACGCAGGCGGUCUGUCAAGUCGGAUGUGAAAUCCCCGGGCUCAACCUGGGAACUGCAUCCGAAACUGGCAGGCUAGAGUCUUGUAGAGGGGGGUAGAAUUCCAGGUGUAGCGGUGAAAUGCGUAGAGAUCUGGAGGAUACCGGUGGCGAAGCGCCCCUGGACAAAGACUGACGCUCAGGUGCGAAAGCGUGGGGAGCAAACAGG
rnacentral:rRNA from 1 species